rnacentral:rRNA from 1 species
AGUGAACGCUGGCGGUAGACCUAACACAUGCAAGUCGAACGGCGGCACAGUAAGAGCUUGCUCUUACGGGUGGCGAGUGGCGGACGGGUGAGGAAUACAUCGGAAUCUACUUUUUCGUGGGGGAUAACGUAGGGAAACUUACGCUAAUACCGCAUACGACCUACGGGUGAAAGCAGGGGAUCUUCGGACCUUGCGCGAUUGAAUGAGCCGAUGUCGGAUUAGCUAGUUGGCGGGGUAAAGGCCCACCAAGGCGACGAUCCGUAGCUGGUCUGAGAGGAUGAUCAGCCACACUGGAACUGAGACACGGUCCAGACUCCUACGGGAGGCAGCAGUGGGGAAUAUUGGACAAUGGGCGCAAGCCUGAUCCAGCCAUACCGCGUGGGUGAAGAAGGCCUUCGGGUUGUAAAGCCCUUUUGUUGGGAAAGAAAAGCAGCAGGUUAAUACCCCGCUGUUCUGACGGUACCCAAAGAAUAAGCACCGGCUAACUUCGUG